rnacentral:lncRNA from 10 species
CGCAAGCACCGCGCGCAGCCCCGGUUUCCGCUCGCGCCUCUCCCUCCACACCUGCCCACAAGCUGAGGGAGCCGGCUCCGGCCUUGGCCAGCCCGGAAAGGGGCUCCCACAGUGCAGCGGCAGGCUGAAGGGUUCCUCAAGUGCCGCCAAAGUGGGAGCCCAGGCAGAGGAGGCGCCAAGAGCGAGCGAGGGCUGUGAGGACUGCCAGCACGCUGUCACCUCUCAGUACCACCAAUAUCAUGAUUAUUGAAUGAGGUUGCCUUGAUAAUUCUGCUGAUCUUGCCUGGCUUUACUAAUGUGCCUGAGGUUGUCUAGAAGAUGAAAUGGAAUGGGUGGAUUUGGUGGAAUAGGUGGAUUCGGUGGAAUGGAUGGAUUCAGUGGAAUGGGUGGAAUAGGAAGACGAAGGCUGGAGUUGGAUAAUGAUCCUUCUAUUAUGAGCUUUGACAAUUCUGGGACAUGGACUCUCGGUACAGAUUGCCCAAGACAUCUCACAUGACCAAGCAAUGGGACAUGUCUCUUCUUACCUCAUGAAACACCCUGCCGCACCCCGCCCCCUUCUGCCACCACCAAGUGAUCAUCCAGCUGACACUUGAGGAACUUUGAUGAUGAGGAGUUCAUCAGUCAUUGGUCAGACUAUUAAAUCUUUCCACAGCUUAGUGAGUUUAUUAUAGUUUUCUUGAUGCAUAAUUCUGCCUGCUACAGAGAUAGAAUUACUUAAGGAUGUUUGAAAUACAGGUAUACCUCAGAGAUACUGCAGGUUUGGUUCCAGACCACCAUAAUAAAGUGAAUAUAACAAUAAAAUGAGUCACACAAUUUUUUUAGUUUCCCAAUGCAUGCAUAUAAAAGGUAUGUUUAUACUACAUGGUAGUCAGUUAAGUAUGCAAUUGCAUUAUGUCUAUAAAAGAGUACAUUCCUUAAUUUAAAAAUACUUUAUUUCUAAAAAAACGUUAACAAACCUCUGAGUCUUUGAAGAGUUGUUAUCUUUUUGCUGAGGGAGGCUCUAAUUGAGGGGUGCCAACUCAUUAAGGUGGUGGUUGCUGAAGGUUGAAUGGCUAUGGGAAUUUUUUAAAUGAGCCAACAAUAAAAUUUAAGACAUCAAUUGACACUUUUACAAAAAUAUUUCUG